AUAACUUAAAGUUUAGUUUUAAGACCUUAAGUUAACAGGGCAAAACAAACAAAUCAAAUACGAUAAAAUAUUUGAAUUUCAAUGUUGAAAUCAAGUUUGAAAAGUUUAUAAAUUCUACAUUAACAUAAAUUGUAUAAAUGCAUAUAAAAGAUCAUAUCGAUACUACACACCAGGCACUGUUGUCUAACUACCACCCUUCAGAUGUACUUUAUUUUUCAGUUGCUGACAUUAUAUUUCACCUUGUGUUUUUUAUCAGGUACUGAGGUUAUUUAUGUUGACAGUGGUGAGCUGAACAUCAAAGUGCAGGAACACACAGAGACAAAGACCACACAAAUCUUUCCUCCAUGCUGUUUAAUACAGAGGCUUCUGCUCCGUCUUUAUUCGGUGUGGUGAGGGAGUAAUCUGUCCUACUGUACAUGUCACUAUUGGCAUUAAAAUAGGUCAUUUACAAUACACUGAUGUACAGUGGAUACUAAUGAUGUCAGCUGAGCAACUAACCCUGAAUGGUAGUGUGUCCAAGGACUCUAUAUAACCUCUCUAUACAUUAAUAAUUAUAAUAUCAUCUAUAGGAGACAAACACACACACAGACAAGGGCAAAGCAUAAAAUGACGUCACACGUUUAGUAUUGACAACCGAAAAGACAUUCUCGUUAAUAUUGAUCGUUGUGUUUGAUUACAUAGUCAGUUUAAUUAAACAAUGACAGCCUUGCGUGAGAACAGGAAGUUCAGGUGCAUCAUGGGGUUUAUAAUGGUCCAACGUUCAACAUCAGUAUUGUACUGAGGCUUUGUUGUUGUUUUUGGUAAAGAUUGACUCUUAGUACAGAUUAAUGUCAAAUGUUGUCUAUGGAUUGUUCAUAGAUUGUCAUCAUCUGAGCAGAAAACUCCUUUAACUGCAUUGUGUGUGAAUUAAUUAGAAAUAUGUUUAUGUUUAUGAAACCCUGAUACAAACAAUUCUGUAGUGAAUUACUGACCCCUAGUGGUUACAGAGCUCAACAAACACUGACCCUUUCGAAGCCAAGAAAUACUCAAAAAAAGUGAUUUUUGAUAGACGUGUGGCCCACAUUUGCGAUACUUCGAGGCAGGUAUGGGCCCCAAUAGACCAAUUUUGACAAGUAGCUAUGUCUGUUUAAGCACAAGAUGUUUAAUAAAAUAAGGACAGUAUAUAAAAAUAGCUCACACAAAAUUUAAAUGUAUUGUGAGGACAGUUCCACUGCUUCCCACGACUCACCUGAACUUUUGAACAACUUGUAUCCACCCAACAGUCGGGCAUGCGUGCGAUCAAACCAAACAGCAGCACAAGUGUUGGUUGCAGCCCUAUUUACAACACAUUCAACCAUUUUACAUAGAGCUCCGCAAGAACAUUCUGUCACUGGUUCCUUCACAGGAUUUAGUGGUUUUUUGUCAAAGAUGUGAGAUGGCUCUGGAUGAAGACUGAGCAGGUGAGGAUGAAGAGGCUGAGCUGUGUAUGACUGUGUGUAUCUUUGUGUGUGUGUAAGGCAUUGAUCCGAUUGUUUGGAAGAUCUCAUUGGCUGCUGCUUUUGUAAUUUCUUUUUUUAUUUCUCCAGAUCAGUAAUGAACGGAGGGGAACGGAGGAUUUGUGAGGUUUCGGGUGGAUUGUCACCUGUUUGACACACAGCGGUCAGUGUACACCAGGUAUAAGAGCAUAUAUGUUUCUGACAGACAUCACUGAACCUAUAAUCUUCUGCAAUAGAAACACACUUGUAAAAGGAUUUACAUUUUUUAAGCUGUCUGAAAAAUCCAGACCUGCCUCUGAGGUCUUUGAGACUUUCCGUCUCCAAGACUCAAGGGGGUCAAUGACUUGUGUCGCAGUUACGUUCCUACAACCCAUAACGGUUUUGGCUGCCAGUGGGAACUCACAUACUGUAUAUUGAUGUCACACAGCUACGCUAACACAAUGGUUACAUCUUAAUAUAGGACAUAAGCCAUAAUUGGGAGCCAUAAUGAAGGGCAAAAAAAAAAACACUAACGAAAGAAAGCAAAUCUAGCACAAUCAAUGCGAAUGUAAACAAAGCCAGCUUCAGUGUAUAGUUCCGCGGGAUAACAUAUUCUUCCUCUCCGCUUGCUAACUAGUUCCCAUGCGAAAUUAUAUUAUGUGAUGUUUUAUGUCCUAUGUCGGAAUCAUGGACCAAUCAUGGACCCCUGUACACAUUUUGACUGUUAUAGGCAUCGGAUCUUGUGUGUGUGUGUCUGUGUGUGUAAUGAACGAAUAUUAAGAGCUCAGAGAUGUUUUUGUCAGAUAGUAAUAUUUUUUGUAAAUACUGAAUUAUAAUGGAGAUGUAACAUCUAUCUUACUGAAAUGUGUUAGUUGUUAUCUGUAAUAUCUAUUUACGUCAGAUUUGGCCAAAUACACAAAAAGCAACAGGACAUUUUCUCAGACUUCAGAGGAGCCACACUCACAGAGGGAUAUCCACGAGACAUCAAUGUCAUUGCUUCAAACGGGUAAAGUUAAUAAUAGUGCAAAGAUGUCAAACAAAUAUGAAAAUAAAGAGGAAAAAACCCAGAAACAGUUAAAGUAACACACAGUUCACCUGGUGUCUGAUUCUUUUUGCAGGGUUUCAUCGUCAAGUUUUUUUCCCAUCCUCAAUCAUCUCAAGAGUCUUCGUCACUUCGUCUUACAUUUGACAUGGAGGAGAGGUGGUUAGGGCUGUGGCCUCACAGCUUGAAGGUCUGCAGCUUUAAUCCCAGCCCGCAACUUCCAAAUUUAAGAUCCCCUUGGAUCCCUGCUGAAGUCUCUGUAAAGUCACAGGGUUUUACUGGUGGUGAGUCCUCGACUGCCCCCUGACUGUCCGCCUCAUCAAAGACCCCGGAUGUUGUGGUGGUGAUGGAGUCCAGGUCCUCCUCUCCCUCAUCAGAGAGCCAGGUGGAGGUAGGACUGCAGGCCUGGGAGCGAAACGUGCGUUGUUCUGCAAUGGUGUCCAGAUCCGAAGGAUAACCUGCUGUCGCGGGG